rnacentral:rRNA from 1 species
GUAGAAAUACGCUCCCCGCAAGGUCUCUAUACAGGUGGUGCAUGGUUGUCGUCAGCUCGUGUCGUGAGAUGUUGGGUUAAGUCCCGCAACGAGCGCAACCCUCGUCCUAUGUUGCCAGCACGUAAUGGUGGGAACUCAUGGGAGACUGCCGGGGUCAACUCGGAGGAAGGUGGGGAUGACGUCAAAUCAUCAUGCCCCUUAUGUCUUGGGCUUCACGCAUGCUACAAUGGCCGGUACAAAGGGCUGCAAUACCGCAAGGUGGAGCGAAUCCCAUAAAGCCGGUCUCAGUUCGGAUUGGGGUCUGCAACUCGACCCCAUGAAGUCGGAAUCGCUAGUAAUCGUAGAUCAGCAACGCUACGGUGAAUACGUUCCCGGGCCUUGUACACACCGCCCGUCAAGUCACGAAAGUC